UACGGAAGGCAGCAGGGGGAAUAUUGCACAAUGGGCGCAAGCCUGAUGCAGCCAUGCCGCGUGUAUGAAGAAGGCCUUCGGGUUGUAAAGUACUUUCAGUCGUGAGGAAGGUGUUAAGGUUAAUAACCUUAGCAAUUGACGUUAGCGACAGAAGAAGCACCGGCUAACUCCGUGCCAGCAGCCGCGGUAAUACGGAGGGUGCGAGCGUUAAUCGGAAUUACUGGGCGUAAAGGGCACGCAGGCGGUUAAUUAAGUUGGAUGUGAAAUCCCCGGGCUUAACCUGGGAAUGGCAUUCAAGCUGGUUAGCUAGAGUCUUGUAGAGGGGGUUAGAAUUCCAUGUGUAGCGGUGAAAUGCGUAGAGAUGUGGAGGAAUACCGGUGGCGAAGGCGGCCCCUGGACAAAGACUGACGCUCAUGUGCGAAAGCUGGGGAGCAAACAGGGAUUAGAUACC
rnacentral:rRNA from 1 species